GUCGAACGCUGGCGGCGUGCUUAACACAUGCAAGUCGAACGCAGUGGCGAACGGGUGAGUAACGCGUAAUCAACCUGCCCUUCAGAGGGGGACAACAGUUGGAAACGACUGCUAAUACCGCAUACUGAAGGAGGGGUUUGCGUCUGAUUAGCUAGUUGGAGGGGUCACGGCCCACCAAGGCGAUGAUCAGUAGCCGGUCUGAGGAGGUGGACGGCCACAUUGGGACUGAGAAACGGCCCAGACUCCUACGGGAGGCAGCAGGGGGGAAUCUUCCGCAAUGGACGGAAGUCUGGCGGAGCAACGCCGCGUGAGUGAUGACGGCCUUCGGGUUGUAAAACUCUGUUAAUCGGGACGCGGUACCGGAAUAGAAAGCCACGGCUAACUACGUGCCAGCAGCCGCGGUAAUAC
rnacentral:rRNA from 1 species